CAAAGGCCCCAAAGGAAGCCACGGCUAACUCUGUGCCAGCAGCCGCGGUAAUACAGAGGUGGCAAGCGUUGUUCGGUAUUAUUGGGCGUAAAGAGCACGUAGGUGGUUCUGUAAGUCAGAUGUGAAAGCCUUCUGUUCAAAGGAAGAGCGGCAUCUGAAACUACAGAUCUUGAGUUUAGGAGGGGAGAGUGGAACUUCUGGUGGAGCGGUGAAAUGCGUAGAUAUCAGAAGGAACGUCGGCGGCGAAAGCGACUCUCUGGCCUAUUACUGACACUGAGUGUGCGAAAGUUAGGGGAGCAAACGGGAUUAGAUACCCCGGUAGUCCUAACUGUAAA
rnacentral:rRNA from 1 species